AAUAGAUACCCAGGUAGUCCACCCCGUAAACGUUGGGAACUAGUUGUGGGGUCCUUUCCACGGAUUCCGUGACGCAGCUAACGCGUUAAGUUCCCCGCCUGGGGAGUACGGCCGCAAGGCUAAAACUCAAAGGAAUUGACGGGGACCCGCACAAGCGGCGGAGCAUGCGGAUUAAUUCGAUGCAACGCGAAGAACCUUACCAAGGCUUGACAUACACCAGAACACCCUAGAAAUAGGGGACUCUUUGGACACUGGUGAACAGGUGGUGCAUGGUUGUCGUCAGCUCGUGUCGUGAGAUGUUGGGUUAAGUCCCGCAACGAGCGCAACCCUCGUUCUAUGUUGCCAGCACGUAAUGGUGGGAACUCAUGGGAUACUGCCGGGGUCAACUCGGAGGAAGGUGGGGAUGACGUCAAAUCAUCAUGCCCCUUAUGUCUUGGGCUUCACGCAUGCUACAAUGGCCGGUACAAAGGGCUGCAAUACCGUGAGGUGGAGCGAAUCCCAAAAAGCCGGUCCCAGUUCGGAUUGAGGUCUGCAACUCGACCUCA
rnacentral:rRNA from 1 species